rnacentral:sRNA from 1 species
GGGCAAUCUGCGGAGCCUUUUUUAAAGCUUUUUUUUUUUUUCUUGGCACAUAACGCUACAUGUGUCCCGCCUUGGUUGAGCCAGCACUUUCAUUUGCAGAAUGUAGAAUGGGCCCUGUUCAUCAAACCUCAGGUUUAUUUUCAUUUGAAAUAGGCCUGGUUUCUGGUUCUUCCCACUCAUGUAUAAGGCUCAUCAUUCUCUCCCGUCUCUCUCCUUCCCUCUCUUCCUCACUCUGACUCUUCACAUCUGGUUGGUGCCUCACUCGCAGCCCCUGCAGCCCAGUGUUGCGCAGAUGGUUUUCACAGUGGGGUUCUGUAGAAAUUCAGCUGUUAUUCCCUGGAUAGCUACACUGAUUCCUUACUCUAGUCUUGUUCUUCCACUAAAAAGAAAUCUAAACCCAUAUUUUUAACCUGAAAAUGUCUGCUGGUAUCUGCAGUGAAUGUGGAGAAAUCAGUUGUUUUAUGGUGAACCUUUGAUGCUAAAGCCUAAAUAGAAUUGAUUGGAUUUCUGAGCCUAGUGCUAGAAAAUGUGGUGUUGACUCUGGAGCUGCUGUGGGCCUCUGACCUGGGCAUUGAGCUGCUGUAAGGGUUGAUGACCACAGGCUCUCAGACAGACUGAAAGGAUCCCAGCACAACUGCAAAGUAAUCAGAAAUCCUUUCCUUCCAAAAUUUAUUUUUAAUUAUAUUGUUUUUGAAGCCAUCUGCUGUGAUUGUCUUCCCUUAUUGUUGACUAGACUACAUGCAAUAGAUAAGGUUUUCAAAAGAAACACUGUGAAAUGUCAAAUAAUUUUGCAAACUAUAGAUUAUUUGCACUUAUGAAAUUAAGAAGGCGCUAAAUCCUCUAGGACCUAGGUAGAAAAUACGCACACCCAGUAUUUGCCUCCAACUCCUGAUUAGUAAUUUAAACAUUUGCCUUAUUUCCACUUGUUGCCUACUCUUUUGAAGGUAUAAUAAUUUUGAAAAAAUAAUAUUGCUAUAAGUUGACCUUCAUAGGUUUGGGUCUUAAGCACACAGAAUGACUGCCCUUUUUUUUUAGAUAAAAAAGGAUUUUUCCAGAAUGCGGUGCUGUUUGCAUUUCAGAAAUUAAUAUGCUCCCCAUUACAAUUUCUUUUUUCUUUUCUUCCUUCAAGGGAAAUGCGAGGGCCUCCUGCUUCACUCUGUAACUUGUGUUGGCAGGAGUACAGUCUGACGAAUCACACAUAUAAUCCUAAACUCUUUCUCCUGUUUUCGAUUAGCAUCUAUGGGUCUUGCAGAUAUGAUGUCUCCUGGUGAAUCCAAACUGCCCCUGCCUCUCAAAGCAGACGGCAAAGAAGAAGGCACUCCACAGCCCGAGAGCAAGUCAAAGGAUAGCUACAGCUCUCAGGGUAUUUCUCAGCCCCCAACCCCAGGCAACCUGCCAGUCCCUUCCCCAAUGUCCCCCAGCUCUGCUAGCAUCUCCUCAUUUCAUGGAGAUGAAAGUGAUAGCAUUAGCAGCCCAGGCUGGCCAAAGACUCCAUCAAGCCCUAAGUCCAGCUCCUCCACCACUACUGGGGAGAAGAUCACGAAGGUGUACGAGCUGGGGAAUGAGCCAGAGAGAAAGCUCUGGGUCGACCGAUACCUCACCUUCAUGGAAGAGAGAGGCUCUCCUGUCUCGAGUCUGCCUGCUGUGGGCAAGAAGCCCCUGGACCUGUUCCGACUCUACGUCUGCGUCAAAGAGAUCGGGGGUUUGGCCCAGGUUAAUAAAAACAAGAAGUGGCGUGAGCUGGCAACCAACCUAAACGUUGGCACCUCAAGCAGUGCAGCGAGCUCCCUGAAAAAGCAGUAUAUUCAGUACCUGUUUGCCUUUGAGUGCAAGAUCGAACGUGGGGAGGAGCCCCCGCCGGAAGUCUUCAGCACCGGGGACACCAAAAAGCAGCCCAAGCUCCAGCCGCCAUCUCCUGCUAACUCGGGAUCCUUGCAAGGCCCACAGACCCCCCAGUCAACUGGCAGCAAUUCCAUGGCAGAGGUUCCAGGUGACCUGAAGCCACCUACCCCAGCCUCCACCCCUCACGGCCAGAUGACCCCAUUGCAAGGUGGAAGAAGCAGUACAAUCAGUGUGCACGACCCAUUCUCAGACGUGAGUGAUUCAUCCUUCCCGAAACGGAACUCCAUGACUCCAAACGCCCCCUACCAGCAGGGCAUGAGCAUGCCCGAUGUGAUGGGCAGGAUGCCCUAUGAGCCCAACAAGGACCCCUUUGGGGGAAUGAGAAAAGUGCCUGGAAGCAGCGAGCCCUUUAUGACGCAAGGACAGAUGCCCAACAGCAGCAUGCAGGACAUGUACAACCAAAGUCCCUCCGGAGCAAUGUCUAACCUGGGCAUGGGGCAGCGCCAGCAGUUUCCCUAUGGAGCCAGUUACGACCGAAGGCAUGAACCUUAUGGGCAGCAGUAUCCAGGCCAAGGCCCUCCCUCGGGACAGCCGCCGUAUGGAGGGCACCAGCCCGGCCUGUACCCACAGCAGCCGAAUUACAAACGCCAUAUGGACGGCAUGUACGGGCCCCCAGCCAAGCGCCACGAGGGCGACAUGUACAACAUGCAGUACAGCAGCCAGCAGCAGGAGAUGUACAACCAGUACGGAGGCUCCUACUCGGGCCCGGACCGCAGGCCCAUCCAGGGCCAGUACCCGUAUCCCUACAGCAGGGAGAGGAUGCAGGGCCCGGGGCAGAUCCAGACACACGGAAUCCCGCCUCAGAUGAUGGGCGGCCCGCUGCAGUCGUCCUCCAGUGAGGGGCCUCAGCAGAAUAUGUGGGCAGCACGCAAUGAUAUGCCUUAUCCCUACCAGAACAGGCAGGGCCCUGGCGGCCCUACACAGGCGCCCCCUUACCCAGGCAUGAACCGCACGGACGAUAUGAUGGUACCCGAUCAGAGGAUAAAUCAUGAGAGCCAGUGGCCUUCUCACGUCAGCCAGCGUCAGCCUUAUAUGUCGUCCUCAGCCUCCAUGCAGCCCAUCACACGCCCACCACAGCCGUCCUACCAGACGCCACCGUCACUGCCAAAUCACAUCUCCAGGGCGCCCAGCCCAGCGUCCUUCCAGCGCUCCCUGGAGAACCGCAUGUCUCCAAGCAAGUCUCCCUUUCUGCCGUCUAUGAAGAUGCAGAAGGUCAUGCCCACGGUCCCCACAUCCCAGGUCACCGGGCCACCACCCCAACCACCCCCAAUCAGAAGGGAGAUCACCUUUCCUCCUGGCUCAGUAGAAGCAUCACAACCAGUCUUGAAACAAAGGCGAAAGAUUACCUCCAAAGAUAUCGUUACUCCUGAGGCGUGGCGUGUGAUGAUGUCCCUUAAAUCAGGUCUUUUGGCUGAGAGUACGUGGGCUUUGGACACUAUUAAUAUUCUUCUGUAUGAUGACAGCACUGUUGCUACUUUCAAUCUCUCCCAGUUGUCUGGAUUUCUCGAACUUUUAGUCGAGUACUUUAGAAAAUGCCUGAUUGACAUUUUUGGAAUUCUUAUGGAAUAUGAAGUGGGAGACCCCAGCCAAAAAGCACUUGACCACAACGCAGCAAGGAAGGAUGACAGCCAGUCCUUGGCGGACGAUUCUGGGAAAGAGGAGGAAGAUGCUGAAUGUAUUGAUGACGACGAGGAAGACGAGGAGGAUGAGGAGGAAGACAGCGAGAAGACAGAAAGCGAUGAAAAGAGCAGCAUCGCUCUGACUGCCCUGGACGCCGCUGCAGACCCAAAGGAGAAGCCCAAGCAAGCCAGUAAGUUCGACAAGCUGCCAAUAAAGAUAGUCAAAAAGAACAACCUGUUUGUUGUUGACCGAUCUGACAAGUUGGGGCGUGUGCAGGAGUUCAAUAGUGGCCUUCUGCACUGGCAGCUCGGCGGGGGCGACACCACCGAGCACAUUCAGACUCACUUUGAGAGCAAGAUGGAAAUUCCUCCUCGCAGGCGCCCACCUCCCCCCUUAAGCUCCGCAGGUAGAAAGAAAGAGCAAGAAGGCAAAGGCGACUCUGAAGAGCAGCAAGAGAAAAGCAUCAUAGCAACCAUCGAUGACGUCCUCUCUGCUCGGCCAGGGGCAUUGCCUGAAGACGCAAACCCUGGGCCCCAGACCGAAAGCAGUAAGUUUCCCUUUGGUAUCCAGCAAGCCAAAAGUCACCGGAACAUCAAGCUGCUGGAGGACGAGCCCAGGAGCCGAGACGAGACUCCUCUGUGUACCAUCGCGCACUGGCAGGACUCGCUGGCUAAGCGAUGCAUCUGUGUGUCCAAUAUUGUCCGUAGCUUGUCAUUCGUGCCUGGCAAUGAUGCCGAAAUGUCCAAACAUCCAGGCCUGGUGCUGAUCCUGGGGAAGCUGAUUCUUCUUCACCACGAGCAUCCAGAGAGAAAGCGAGCACCGCAGACCUAUGAGAAAGAGGAGGACGAGGACAAGGGGGUGGCCUGCAGCAAAGAUGAGUGGUGGUGGGACUGCCUCGAGGUCUUGAGGGAUAACACGUUGGUCACGUUGGCCAACAUUUCCGGGCAGCUAGACUUGUCUGCUUACACGGAAAGCAUCUGCUUGCCAAUUUUGGAUGGCUUGCUGCACUGGAUGGUGUGCCCGUCUGCAGAGGCACAAGAUCCCUUUCCAACUGUGGGACCCAACUCGGUCCUGUCGCCUCAGAGACUUGUGCUGGAGACCCUCUGUAAACUCAGUAUCCAGGACAAUAAUGUGGACCUGAUCUUGGCCACUCCUCCAUUUAGUCGUCAGGAGAAAUUCUAUGCUACAUUAGUUAGGUACGUUGGGGAUCGCAAAAACCCAGUCUGUCGAGAAAUGUCCAUGGCGCUUUUAUCGAACCUUGCCCAAGGGGACGCACUAGCAGCAAGGGCCAUAGCUGUGCAGAAAGGAAGCAUUGGAAACUUGAUAAGCUUCCUAGAGGAUGGGGUCACGAUGGCCCAGUACCAGCAGAGCCAGCACAACCUCAUGCACAUGCAGCCCCCGCCCCUGGAACCACCUAGCGUAGACAUGAUGUGCAGGGCGGCCAAGGCUUUGCUAGCCAUGGCCAGAGUGGACGAAAACCGCUCGGAAUUCCUUUUGCACGAGGGCCGGUUGCUGGAUAUCUCGAUAUCAGCUGUCCUGAACUCUCUGGUUGCAUCUGUCAUCUGUGAUGUACUGUUUCAGAUUGGGCAGUUAUGACAUAAGUGAGAAGGCAAGCAUGUGUGAGUGAAGAUUAGAGGGUCACAUAUAACUGGCUGUUUUCUGUUCUUGUUUAUCCAGCGUAGGAAGAAGGAAAAGAAAAUCUUUGCUCCUCUGCCCCAUUCACUAUUUACCAAUUGGGAAUUAAAGAAAUAAUUAAUUUGAACAGUUAUGAAAUUAAUAUUUGCUGUCUGUGUGUAUAAGUACAUCCUUUGGGGGUUUUUUUUCCUUUUUUUUUUUAACCAAAGUUGCUGUCUAGUGCAUUCAAAGGUCACUUUUUGUUCUUCACAGAUCUUUUUAAUGUUCUUUCCCAUGUUGUAUUGCAUUUUUGGGGGAAGCAAAUUGACUUUAAAGAAAAAAGUUGUGGCAAAAGAUGCUAAGAUGCGAAAAUUUCACCACACUGAGUCAAAAAGGUGAAAAAUUAUCCAUUUCCUAUGCGUUUUACUCCUCAGAGAAUGAAAAAAACUGCAUCCCAUCACCCAAAGUUCUGUGCAAUAGAAAUUUCUACAGAUACAGGUAUAGGGGCUCAAGGAGGUAUGUCGGUCAGUAGUCAAAACUAGGAAAUGAUACUGGUUUCUCCACAGGAAUACGGUUCCAUUAGGCUGGGAGCAAAAACAAUGUUUUUUAAGAUUGAGAAUACAUACCUGACAACGAUCCGGAAACUGCUCCUCACCACUCCCGUCAUGCCUGCUGUCGGCGUUUGACCUUCCACGUGACAGUUCUUCACAAUUCCUUUCAUCAUUUUUUAAAUAUUUUUUUUACUGCCUAUGGGCUGUGAUGUAUAUAGAAGUUGUA